AAGCUAGGCCCAUUGUGGUCGUCUCUUCCUGGGGAUGCAGUGGUAGAACUUUCAGCUCCUCCUCCAGUGCAAAGUCAGCCUGCAUGUGGUCAUGCUUGCCACCAUGAGGAUCAUGGACUAAACCUCUGAACUGUUCCAGGAUUUCGGAAACCAGAGCUGAUGGCAGGAUCCUGCCUGUCUUCUAGAGACAGAUGUGCUUGGAAAAUUCCAGGCGACAAGGAAAGCAUCCUGGGAAAUCUCCAUCUGUGGAGAUAUUGCAGAGGUGCCAGCUGCUCCCGAACCAAGGACUAACUCCACCAAAACGCCUUUCCCCUCCCAUCCUCAUGACUACAUCCCCUCCAACAAAAAGGAAGAAAAGUUCUCUAUUCUAAAGCCAAGAGAGGGAUGUGAUAGUAGGCUUGCUGGGACAUGCCUGCCGUGUCAGCACUAGGGAGUCAGAGGUAGGGGGCUCAUAGGUUUGAGACCAGCUCUAGCUAUAGAAUGAGAUAGUCAAAAGGGGGCGGGAGUAAAGACCCAGACUCAGAGGCACAAAGAGAAAGAGACAGAUCAAAAAAAAAAAAAAAAAAAAAAAAAAAAAAAAAAAAAAAAAAAAAAAAAAAAAAAAAAAAAAAAAAAAGGACAUAAAUCACCCAAUGCAGAGACUGGCUAUGAGACAGACAGACUCUCAACGGCUUUCAAUUUUAAGGAGGAGAACAAAUUAAUCAUUCAAAGAGAGCCUUGACCAGGGAAAGAUGUUGUGAGCAUGUGUGUGGCUCCUCUUCCCCCUUUUUGUCCUCUCUUUCUCUCUUUUUCUGUCUCCAUCCUUCUUGGGCCCACAAUAGAGGCACACCGCUCACCCUCAGACUCGGUCCCAGAGCUAGGCAGCCAUCAGGCCAUGGUAGUUAUGUUGGAUGACAUGGAAUCUGCAAUGCCUCUCUGCAUUUCCUUCUCCCAGACAUUAAGAGUUCUGGACAUCCCCCUCUGUGAGUCGUGGUAUCUCAUAGAGGGGCACUACAAUCUCACCAGUGUCCCUUUUCUGGGUCCAAAGCCUUUCUUGUUGGCUCCAAAGGAAGCUUAUCAAUAGAGCUCUGGAAACCCUCAACAAUCUCAGGAUGGGAUUUCUCUUCUGAUACCGAUACCUCCCACCCCCAGAUGAUUUCUGAGUCCAGAGGGCUGCUUUGAUGAUGAGGGCCCUCUUCUUACCAACAAAAAGGUACUGAAGCUAAAAGGACUGAAAAUUGCCCCUGUGUGGGGUUGUCUGGGGACUUCCACACCCUACUUUUGCAACUACCUGAUAGACAGAGAAGAUGGGCACAUACUCCUGUGGGAUGCACAGAGCCCAAAGACAUGCCAAGAAAGGUCCACAUUUCCCACAAGUCUUCCUGCCUCUGCAAAUUCACAGGGACUUUAGUCUCCAUGACAUCCGAAACUAAUGUUUCAAAAGACCUGCCUUGCAAUAAAAGGUUACUUCAAAAGA